rnacentral:lncRNA from 1 species
ACAGUGGGACCCGCGACCGGCCCUGGCCUCAGGCACUGGAGGACCCUGCAACCCCAUGCGCUAGACUAUGCUACUGAAGGACCUCUCCCCCGGCUCCGCCCUAGACUAAGGCACCGGAGGAUCCCCGCCCCGCCCCGCCCCGCUGUGUCCUGGGCUGUACCACUGCAGAACGCCCACGCCUCCACACCCUGGACGCUGGCUCCCGAGGACCUCGGCGCUGGCUCGCCCUGAACUACUCCUGCCCCUCUGUGCUCUGGACUGUGGUUCCAGAGAACCUGGUCCUGAGACAACUUGGGCUACCGCGUGGACUCCAGGACCGCAGUCCCGCCAGGCCCUAGACCAAGACAGGAGAGAACCUCUGACCCACCGCCCCCUGGAUAGGGCACCAGAGGACCCACACCUUGCCGUGCACUGGACUACAGCACGGAGGGACCCCGAUCCGCCGAGCACUGGGCUCCUGCACAGAGGAACCCCCGCCAUGGAGGUCUGGACUAUCCUUGCCCCACCGCACCCUGAACUACUGCACGCCAAGACCCUCGCCUGAACGCGCCCCACAUUCUGGCAUGGGGGAACCCCGCCCCGUAGAGCCCUGGACUCUGGCAUUGGAGGACUCCCACUCCAUUACAUCCUGGACUUCUGCACCAGAGGACUCCUGCACCGCCGCACCCUGGACACCUGCACUAGAGAACCCUGCCCCGUCGCCCCCUAGACUAUGGCACGGGAGGACCCUUGCCACCGACUUCGGAACGGUAAGACCCCUGACCCGCCAUGCACUGGAUUCCAGGAGUGGAGGACCCCCUGCCACGGCGCUCUCUGGGCUACUGCUGCCCCACCGCGUCCUGCACUACAGCAUAGCAGGACUGCCGUCCCACCGCGCACUGGACUGAGGCACAGCAGGACUGCGGUCUCGUGCGUGGUGGACUGCAGGACGAGGUGACCCCCUCCCCGCCGCGCGUUGGACUAUGACACAGGAGGACCACCACUCCCGCAUGCCCUGGACCACUGCAGGACAGGUCCCCCACUCCGCCGCGCCCUGGAAUAUGGCACUGGAGGACCCCCGUCCUGCCGCUCCGCGGACUCCACCACCGAAGACCCUUGACCCCUGCGCCCAGGACAAAGGCAAGCAAGGACCUGGCCUCACCGCCCCGUGGGCUAUCGCAUAGGAAAACCCCCACCCCACCCCCACGCCGCGCCAGAGACUCUGACAAGAGAGGACCCCUGCCCCCUGCUCCCCAGACUACAGCAAUGCCUUACUGCAGACUCAGGCACUGGACUAUCGCAGGGCAGGAUCCCUGUCCGUCCAUGCCCUACAUUAUGGCACGGGAGGACCGAGCCUCACUGCGCUCUGGACUCCAGCACCAGAGGACUCCUGCACGGAGGACUCCCAUUCUGCCACGUCCUGGACUUCUGCAGAAGAGAGCCCCCGCACCGCUGCACCCUGGAUAUAGCAAAGCAGGAAUCCCGCCCUGUCGCGCUCUGGACUGUGGCACCUGAGGAUCCACGCCCCGGUGCACCCUGGGCUACUGCUCCGCAGGACUCCUGUUCUGCUGCACCCUGGACUAUGGCACCAGAGAACCCAACUCCCGGCGGCCUGGACUAUGGCACCAGAGGACCCAUCUCCCGGCAGCCUGGACUAUGGCACCAGAGGACUCAGCCCCCACUUCCUGGACUAAGGCACAGUAGAACCCCGCCGCAUUGUGUAUUCCUGCUCAGGAGGACCCUCACAGUGUGGUGCACUGGACUAAGCUACUGAAGGAGCCCCACCCCUGCCUAACCCUGGACGAAGGCACUGGAGAACUCUUGCUCCACAGAGCCACGGACUCUUGCACAAGAGAACCUCCGCCCAGCCAUGCCCUGGACUGUGGCAUAGUAGGGCCCACACCGCGCCAUGGACUCCUGCAGGGGAGGAAGAGUAGUGACAAAUGUCCAGGUUUACAACUUGAAAAGUAGCAAUCAAUGUGCCACGA